rnacentral:lncRNA from 1 species
UCGGGAAAAGGAUGAAAUAUCCAUUUCUCCCGUUCUUGAAUUUUUGUUUCUAUUGAUAGACACACACAUGGUUUAAAUUUGAAAAGGAGUGAAUUUUCUCUCUUUCUGAUAAUUUUUCUUUUUGUUUCUAAUUACUCUAGAAGGAAGUAAAUCAAAGGCACAAGUAAAUCAAAGGCACAAUUAGAAGAAACAUGGUUUGUCCAUUUUGCCAUAAUGCAUAUUCACUCGAUUUCUACAUCGUUCAUUAUUUUGUUAUAUUACUUUUUCUAUUUCUUUAUCCCAUUAUAUCUAAAAUUUAAUUGUUUUUACAUUUUUAAUUUCUUUGCAAAUUUUGUUCAAAUU